CCUACGGGUGGCAGCAGUGAGGAAUAUUGGUCAAUGGACGAGAGUCUGAACCAGCCAAGUAGCGUGAAGGAUGACUGCCCUAUGGGUUGUAAACUUCUUUUAUACGGGAAUAAAGUGGUCCACGUGUGGGUUUUUGUAUGUACCGUAUGAAUAAGGAUCGGCUAACUCCGUGCCAGCAGCCGCGGUAAUACGGAGGAUCCGAGCGUUAUCCGGAUUUAUUGGGUUUAAAGGGAGCGUAGGCGGGGUAUUAAGUCAGUUGUGAAAGUUUGCGGCUCAACCGUAAAAUUGCAGUUGAUACUGGUAUCCUUGAGUGCAGUUGAGGCAGGCGGAAUUCGUGGUGUAGCGGUGAAAUGCUUAGAUAUCACGAAGAACUCCGAUUGCGAAGGCAGCCUGCUAAGCUGCAACUGACAUUGAGGCUCGAAAG
rnacentral:rRNA from 1 species